CAGUUAUGAGAGUGGUUGCGCUAAACGAAAAGAAAGGGCACAAAGCAAAAAGAAUGCAGCUGCACUUCUGAAACUAACUACAUUUUUCAAAUCACCUGAGUCUGCUACAGCCUCAACCUCCACUGUUGACUCUGUUGAGGAAUGUGUUCGUGUGGAGGAGGUAGAAGAGGUGGAAGCUGGGACAGAGGAGACUGUGGUGGAUAUUGAUGACAUUGACGAAGAAGAUGACGAUGAUUUGAGCUUCAAGAUGAGAAGAGAUUCACAGAGUUUAUAAAGAAUAACUUGUUUUCAGAGCUGCAGAAACAGGAAGUGGAUGGAG